rnacentral:tRNA from 1 species
AGGCCCAGCAGGGGAUCGAACCCUGGAUCUUUGGUUUACAAGACCAAUGCCUUACCACUUGGCCACUGAGCC